rnacentral:rRNA from 1 species
AGGACGAACGCUGGCGGCGUGCCUAAUACAUGCAAGUCGAACGGUCUUUUCUAUGGAAGCUUGCUUCCACUGAGAAGAUAGUGGCGAACGGGUGAGUAACACGUGGGUAACCUGCCCAUAAGAGGGGGAUAACAUCCGGAAACGGGUGCUAAUACCGCAUAGUUUUCUUGAUCGCAUGAUUGAGAAAGGAAAGACGGCCUUUGUGCUGUCGCUUAUGGAUGGACCCGCGGCGUAUUAGUUAGUUGGUGAGGUAACGGCUCACCAAGACGAUGAUACGUAGCCGACCUGAGAGGGUGAUCGGCCACAUUGGGACUGAGACACGGCCCAAACUCCUACGGGAGGCAGCAGUAGGGAAUCUUCCGCAAUGGACGAAAGUCUGACGGAGCAACGCCGCGUGAGUGAAGAAAGGUUUUCGGAUCGUAAAACUCUGUUGUCAGAGAAGAACAAGUUGGAGAGUAACUGCUCCAGCCUUGACGGUAUCUGACCAGAAAGCCACGGCUAACUACGUGCCAGCCGCUGC